UGUACUGCAGUGUUGGGGAGAAGGAAGGGAAGGAGAGUGAAAGUGAAAGAUAAAGUACAAUUGCACAGAAAACAAACACCAACUGAGUCGAAAACGUGGUAACAAUUUCCAAAUCCAUUUUUCAUCACUUUUAAACAACUAAGAAUCCAGAAUCUCCAACACAGUCAAGUUGUUACUCCUCUGGAUAACCCAUUGUACCUCCACUGCACCUAACUAAACACUUCUCAUCAUUUUGGCUUCUUUGAAGUGGGAUUGAAGUCUUCCUCUGCUCUGAAAACCCCAACUCCAAGCAUGGAAACGAGAACUCAGUCAGACAGUCAUGAUAAGGAUUCAAGUGAUGACAGUAUGGAUUCACCACCUUUUAUGUCUUCAUCUGAUCCUCCGAAUCAAAACCUCAGGUCACUCCAUCAAAACAUCAGCUCAUACAACAGACUCCUUGAUGAGACUAAAAAUGAUCUGAAAACAUUGGCAGAUGAAUUUACAAUGAUAGCUGAAAAGAUCAAAUUGGAGAAAAAUAAAAGAGGGUCUCCUUACAAGAGCAAGGAGGCUAUUGCAGUAUAUACGGCUGGGGGAGUGUGCGCAGUAGUGGGAUUCUUUCUUGCCCCCUUCACAGGGUUUCCUCUGUUGCCGGUGCAGGGGUGGGCAUCACGUUGUCUAUUUUGGCUGCUGUUAUUUUAUACUUUAGAAGAAUUAUUAGUGAUGUCACAAACCAAGAGACCUUGGCGGAUUAUGAGAAAAAGUUAUUGGCCAAGAGUGGACCAAUUGUGGAUCGUCUGUAUUGUAUCGAUGAAGAUAUUAAAGAAUUUGUUAGAAUGUCCUCCAUGUCCCCAGCUGGAGAUGAGCCACAUCAGUUUAAGAGAGCAUCUGAACUGAGUGCUAGAAUUCUUAGUGAAGCAGUAGACUUGAAAAGGGAGUUAUCUGUCUUCUCAGGUAUUGUUAGUGAUAUCUUUGGUGAUGUCAGAGAGAUCGGCAGUGGCCGUGAUAUUGGUUCAGAGUUUAUGACAAGUAUCAAGAAAUCAUCUGAAUUGUGUCAGGAGACUAUAAGCAAAUUUGAAAAGAUGAGAGAAGAACUUGAAAAAAUGUCUGAUUCAUGAGGAACAAAGUACAAAUGAAUAAUUAGUUGAAAUAAACCAGUUAGUUGCAAUAAAUCAUUAUCAUUACCUGGCAUGAUCUUGGGCAUCAUCCAGAUCGCUGAAAACAAUGAUAUUGAAAGAGAGUUCCCUGGGAGAAUAGAGAUUCAGCUAGGCUCAGUCAGAAAACUAUAGAUGACUUUGGAACAACGACAAGAGAAAAACAAUGUUAGAAAUAGAAGAAUAUUCUGAAAUUGGGUUUAGAUUUUGUUUACUCAGCUUAUCUCCCCUCCAUCAUACAGUGUAUUAUGUUACCCUAAGGAUAGUGUAAAUAAUUCAGCAUAUUAAUGUUUUAAAAAAUCUAUUUUGUAAAAUGUACUGUACGUGAUGUUAUAUGAGUAACACAUUGCAAGGUAACAUUUAAUUUUACAUUGUUGUUAAAUGUAUUGAAGUGUAUGAAAAUGUACAGUUAGCUUGAACUAACUUUUGUAAAAUACACAUGACGCUUGAGUGACAAGUGAACUUCAAGUGAACUUUUAAAUGAAUUUAUUUUGAGAAAAUAUAUGUACAGUCAACUUGAACUAAAGAAAAAUAAAAUAAAUACAUAUUUGUUUAACAAA